UCAAUAUCUCUGAGACUUAGUGGAGUCACCAUUUCCUGACAACUCACUGACCAGAUGCAUUUCCAGAGGAAACAAAGGGGACUGCAUCCAGAAAAUCAAAGUGACACUAUGUCAUUGUUAUACAUGUGUGCUAUAUUAGGGCAAAUAUUUUUAAAUGUUUAGUAUUAAAUAUUCAGUGACUUGCAGGUGCUUCAUUUUUGAAAAUGAGAGGGUUAGUAGGCUGCCUUUAGAGUUGUGUCUUGAUGAGUAAGACAAUAUUCAAUGAUAAAAGAUCUUAUAGGCAGAAUAAUAUAGUGGCCAAGCCAGUCUUGAGCUCAAAAUUUCCUUUCUUUGUCACACACCAACUAUGUGGUCAUGGACAAAUUAUUUAGUCUCUCAUUGCCUUAAGCCACUUUCCAAGGCAAUUGAAUUAGCAGAGGGAGUUUUUUUUUUUAAAGAAAUUAGUUCCAGACCAAAAUAAAGGAAAGAGUCCUUACUUGAUAUAUGAAUGAAUAGUCUAUCUUAUUCUUUUGUGAACUCUUAAGUUUUAAAAUCACCAGGUGAUAAUGAAAAGAGGGCUAUAUUUGGAGCAGAUUUCUAAUUAAGUAAAAUCAUCAAAAAUUUAUUAAGCAUGUAAUAUGUUCCAGGAACUCUACCAAGGGCUGGGGAUACCAAAACAAACAAACAAACAACAGAAAACUCACAGUUUAAGGAGAUAUUUCUUGAAUAGACAUAUGAUAAUGGAGAGGAACAGGUGCAAGAUAUAAGGGCUGGAAGGAACUUGUAUGAGUUUGUUGGGAUGGUCUGGAUUACAUCGUGCUGACAAGAAAAGCAGGUAUAGAACAGGUUUCAGAAGGUGGAACAGAAACUGGAUAGAUCUGGACUCUGUUCUAGGGCAUCUUCUUUUUUGAGAGCACAUGUGUCUAGUGAUACCUUGCCAGGGGGAAAGGAGGAGGUCAUGAGGAGACAGAAAUGGAGAAGAAAUUUGCUUGCCAUAGCAUGACUGGCUCCCAGCCCAAAUAGCAUCCAAAAGAAAUUUUGCUGCCGAGUGAAGACAUUUAGCAAAGAAAUUUUAUACACAAGUCAGCAACCCAGCUGCCCAGCAUAGUCUCUCAGUUCAGUGAAGGUUAGGAGUCUAUGUUCACCCUGAAAAUCUGAAGAACUUGAAAUUUUCUGAUCCCGGACUCCAUCAUCUUUCCCAAAUACUCGGUGGAUUGAUGAUUACAUGGAUGGAAGUAAAGUAUGAGUCCUGGAAAGGUGAAGAUAAAACGGACUAGACUAUAACCUUGUUAACUUCAAAAGAUCAGAAGAGUACCAGAGUCCCAAGAAU